ACAAACAAGGAGAGAUCGGGCAUGACUCCUCCUGAGAGCCACGAUGGAUCUUGCCUCCACAAGCUACAUAUUAUGAGCAAACAAAAUCAUCGUCACAAAUCCGAUUCCUUCCUCCUCCGCACGCAUGAAGCCGCCGCCGCUGCUUCUCACCUCGCCGCUAGAUCGGAAUCGAAGUCGUUGCUCAAAUCAAGAGAGAGAGAGAGAGAGAGAGAGAGAGAGAGAGAUCGGAUCGAGAUUGAAUGCCACGAGGAGCGCUGUCGGAGAUGCCAGGCCGUUGCCUUAGGCGGACGAGCCGCCGGCAAGGAAUCCACGUCGGGUGGCUAUCCGUGGCCUCUCAAGCCCUCUCUUACUCCCCCCUCCCCCACCUCCCACCGCCCGAGCGCCGUCACCUCACCUUCCACAGGCCCCCUCGACCCUCGGCUAGACGCCACGGCCGGGUCGCCACCCCCUCCCACCGCGAGGAAGACGACGGCAGAGCAAGGCGGCGGCGCUGGGCUGUACGUCGAGCCUCCCUCAGUGGCCUCCGUCCUCCAUACCGAUGCUCCGUCCCCCGUUUCAAUCGGCUCUGCUGCAACUUCGCCUGACGACCGGUGCUCUGCCUUCACCUGCUCUGCUUCGGUCUAGAUCGAUACGGCCCUGAGCUCCACUCCAUGGCCCUCUUCUGCCAAACCCCGUACAAUCUCCUCAAGCCAACUUGCUUGUCAAUGAGCCUAGCACCGCUAGCAAUUCGCAUGGUCUCUCUCUUCUGAAGAUAUGAGUUAACUUUCUGAAGCUAUGCAUACGACAUCAAGUAUUACUUGGAGUUAUGAGGAGCCCAGAAAACGAUUGGCAAUGCAGGAGGGUUAUUCAGUGACUGUUGGUCUCUAAUUUGCUUAUAUAAUAAGGUGGCAUAAUGGGUAUUGUUAUUCCACAACUUCCUCCACAGAACUUAUGCUAUUUCUGAAUCCUGCCAGACUUGAUACUGCAGACUGCAGGUGUGAUUAGUCAUUAGUGUGUUUUCAGCUCUGCAUAUUAUAUGGGCCCAGUCUAAUAUAUUGUAAAUGAUUGGCGAGUGAAUUCCUUAAGCUGGCUGGGCGUACUGAAUUUGAACAGGCCUACUAUGCACUAAGAGUCUCAAUACAAAAAUUAUAUGAACAAAGUUAAUAUAUCGUAAUAUUGGCAUGUGGAUAAAAAAUAUUGGAUUUAUAAACUCCAUCUGUUUAAACAAUUUUAACUACUGCCAAUAUUGGUAUUGAUCGCAGGGAAAUGAAUCUUCUAUUGUAUAUUCGAUGAGUCUUAACAUGCAGUAGUCGUGUAACUGAUUUGCAUCUUCGUAAGUUUUUAGGUUUAUGAGUUUUUCCGACAAUUUUAUUUUUAGCCACAUUUUGGACUUUGACAACUUGCCACAAAAUACAUAAUUUUUCCAUCAGAUUAAGAUAGCAAAGCAUGUAUUCAAACUUUUCCUGUUUAAAUUACAUUAUGCUUAUUUUUUUAGUGUUUGGGUAGAUAACAACACACCCCACAAAAAAAGAUAACAAUACUGAUGUUUACUUAUUUUUCUUUGUAAGAUAAACAUGAUUCUUAAUACUGAGUUGAUUCUUCUAUUUUCAGAGCAAAUAAUAAUUUGCAACCGAUCAAUUGUUUAUUAAUUUAAUAAGCUUUACAACUUCUGCAUGUUAUGAGAAGAUUGUGGAUAAUAUGCUUUUAGUCUUCAUUUUAGCUCAGCCACCUCCGUUCUGAUGCAGACCAAUCUUGCCACGCCCCAACCUCUCCCCUCCCAACCUCGUCGUGCCCCCCACACAUAACGGACUUUGACUCGAAGAAGAGUCCCUGUGAUGUGCGUCUUUGAGUCGUGUCCGAUUAGCAGAUCUUUAGGGGCACGGGUCCAGACAUUGCCGCGCCAUAGAAAGGAACCACUCGACCGGAGGCAAAUACAUUGCAUCACAAGUUGCUCCCGACAUCGCCGUGCCGCAAGUUCCCAACAUCAGCCACCGCAGCACAGGCCACCUGUACUCCAUACGCCGUCGUACAAUCUCGGCGUUCUACCAACAUCGCUGGACCACCGUGCUCCAGCAGAGGUACGCCUAUCUCAUGCCAAUCUAAAGAUGGUUAUGUCAUUUCGGGAAAGAUAUUUUAAUUGUUUUCUACUCCAUUGUUAUGUACAAACAUGUUGUGCCACAUGCUUUACGACGUGUCAGAGGGCUUCCAUGAGCUGUAGGGAUUCGGUGGUGUUGAUGGUCAGCGGGUGAUGUUUCAGCACAAGUGUCAGGUGGAAGAAACGGACGAGUCCUUGGGCCUGUUUAGUGAGGUGCAAGACCACGGCCGGUGUCUCACCGAGGACUCGUCGCCUCUGUUGUCCGACGUGAAGCUCGACGACCAGAUUUUGCAUGAUGCGGCCACGGCCGACAACGGCGGUGUCCAACAAGCCGGGUUAUUGCGCACACAUGGUGCUCGACAUCCGGUCUGUAACUUCUUCCAAGGCAGGAAUCGCCACCGUCAACGAGGUCGUGAACUGCGCAGUGUCCGAACCAUACGCCGCAUCGGCCUCUUCAAGCAUGCCAUGUCAAGCAAUGCUCGGCGCACUGACCUUUGCCGUAUGUACGGAAUAUCCGUCAUGUCAAAUAACAUCACCGAUUUUUGCGCGACAACUGGAGGCGUCGAUCAAGGGGAGCACCAAUAUGGCGAGGAGAACGAUAAGAGCAACGCGGUAAAUGACAAGGCCAUCAAGAAUGAUGAGGUGGAUAGCGAUGCUGAGACCAUCGAUUAAGAGUUUGAAGCAUUGCAAGCUGCCAGAGCAAGUGAAGUACGUGUGGAACGAUUUUAUGCCCCAGAUUCAAUGCCGGACUCGGUACCCCCAGGAAUGGAAUCAUAUAGGGAUUUCAUACUGAAGUCCUUGAUGACAUCGUAUGAUCCAAAGAUGAUGAAGAAAUGACCACAUAAUCAGUGACGCAACUACUCUCUGCUUAGCACUAAAUAUUUGGUGUGAUUUCAUAAAUUUCAAUGUGCCCAAAGUCUUUUUUGUAUUGCAUGAGUUUGUUAAGUGACAUCAUACUUUGGCAUGAAUGAAGCUCAUUUUGUUGGUUACGGUUACUUGCAACGUUCUACUCUCAAAGCAAUAGAUAAGUCGAAGUCAUGGAGUAAUAAAAAUCACCAAAAAAAAUAACAACACGUUCUUUUAAGAUUACUUGAUGGCAUGGAGUAAUAAGCAUCAUAAAACAAAGAACAAUUUCGCUGAGAUUAUGAAUAAGGCUACA